GAUGAACGCUGGCGGCGUGCCUAAUACAUGCAAGUCGAGCGAACAGACGAGGAGCUUGCUCCUCUGACGUUAGCGGCGGACGGGUGAGUAACACGUGGAUAACCUACCUAUAAGACUGGGAUAACUUCGGGAAACCGGAGCUAAUACCGGAUAAUAUAUUGAACCGCAUGGUUCAAUAGUGAAAGACGGUUUUGCUGUCACUUAUAGAUGGAUCCGCGCCGCAUUAGCUAGUUGGUAAGGUAACGGCUUAGCAAGGCAACGAUGCGUAGCCGACCUGAGAGAGGGGUAGGCCGCCCGGGAGGUGAGACGGGGUCACGGGUACUGAGGGAAGGCGCAGAAGGGAAUCGGACGCAGUAGGGGAGAACAUGGCAGAGCAGGCGGAAGUGAGAUGUAGAAAUGUUGCGAGCGUGAAGAUCGCUUACGGGGGGUGAACAAAUGUGGACGGAGAUGAACAGGGAUUGACGGUACCGGGUCAAGAAGCACCGGCUAACUACGUG
rnacentral:rRNA from 1 species